rnacentral:rRNA from 1 species
UACGGAGAGUGCAAGCGUUGUUCGGAAUUAUUGGGCGUAAAGCGCGUGUAGGCGGUCCAACACGUCUGGCGUGAAAGCCUUGGGCUCAACCCAAGAAGUGCGCUGGAAACUGUCGGACUUGAGUACUGGAGGGGGAGGUGGAAUUCUCGAGUGUAGAGGUGAAAUUCGUAGAUAUUCGGAAGAACAUCAGUGGCGAAGGCGACCUCCUGGACAGAUACUGACGCUGAGACGCGAAAGCGUGGGUAGCAAACAGG